rnacentral:rRNA from 1 species
GAUGAACGCUGGCGGCGUGCCUAAUACAUGCAAGUCGAGCGAACAGAUGAGAAGCUUGCUUCUCUGAUGUUAGCGGCGGACGGGUGAGUAACACGCGGGUAACCUACCUAUAAGACUGGGAUAACUCCGGAAAACCGGGGCUAAUACCGGAUAAUAUUUUGAACCGCAUGGGUCAAUAGUGAAAGACGGUUUCGGCUGUCACUUAUAGAUGGACCCGCGCCGUAUUAGCUAGUUGGUAAGGUAACGGCUUACCAAGGCGACGAUACGUAGCCGACCUGAGAGGGUGAUCGGCCACACUGGAACUGAGACACGGUCCAGACUCCUACGGGAGGCAGCAGUAGGGAAUCUUCCGCAAUGGGCGAAAGCCUGACGGAGCAACGCCGCGUGAGUGAUGAAGGUCUUCGGAUCGUAAAACUCUGUUGUUAGGGAAGAACAAAUUUGUUAGUAACUGAACAAGUCUUGACGGUACCUAACCAGAAAGCCACGGCUAACUACGUGCCAGCCGCCGCAGUAA